UUACGGCCACAUCACGUUGAAACACCGGUUCCCGUAGGAUCACCAAAGUUAAGCAACGUCGAGACUGGUUAGCACCUAGAUAUGUGACCGCCUGAGAAUACCAGACACUGUAA